rnacentral:rRNA from 1 species
CGGACGGGUGAGGAAUACAUAGGAAUUUGCCCUUAAGUGGGGGAUAGUCCGGGGAAACUCGGUUUAAUACCGCAUGAUCUCGUGAGAGCAAAGCAGGGGACCGCAAGGCCUUGCGCUUUUGGAGAAGCCUAUGUCGGAUUAGCUAGUAGGCGGGGUAAUGGCCCACCUAGGCAACGAUCCGUAGCUGGUCUGAGAGGACGAUCAGCCACACCGGAACUGAGACACGGUCCGG